UCAUUUGGAAGGAGCCACUGGUGAUCGGACGAAGGGCGAACUCCUUCUCAGCCCAUCGCAGCCACUGGGCCACGUCCUCCCUGCUCCAGAAGACCGGCUGCAAACCUGGAGUCCUCUACAUUCACAUGGCGGCACGAACGCUGCCGAUAAGCCCGGGAAGGCCUCGGUUAUCUGAAGCACAGCUUACAACCCGUCAAGCUCUGACCCUCAGCUUGUCAACAGACGUCCUAAGAAAGUGUCAGCGAGCGGGAUACAGGUGUUUCACAACAACAGGAGCGGGUGGUGGGCAGAUAAGGAACGGUCUUUCUUCAUACUUCUUACUGGGAUUGGCUUCUUGGCCACAGUAAAAAAUCAUAUCUAGGCUACGGUAACUCUAGCCCCUAUGCUUUAUGUAAAUCCUUCUGAUCCGUAUGAUUAAAGCAGUAUAGGUGACUUUAAUCAAUAAUAAAAGAAAAACACCAGUCGUAAAAGAACGCAUUGAAAUAUUCCCAGAAAAUCUAUGAAUUAUGUUGUUUUUUUUAAAACAUAAAAUGUGUCCCUUUUGCAGCUUCUACAAAUGAUUGCAUGUUACAUUUAACUGGACUACAUAACAAGGAUGGAUGUCGGAUGUACUGGAAUACUCAUACUACAUCAUUGACCCUAUAUCAAUAUUGGAUCAAGCUGCCAUCUGCACUGAAUGCGCCAGCUGUACGUUUUGUCUCUGGUGGCUGACUGGAGGCCGGGGCGGGCAGCAGCGAAGCCCAGGUCGCGGGGUCACGGCUGCGGUAUGCUCUCUCUCCAGAGCCGGAGAGUGGUGCUGCUCUGCCAAAACCCCUCCGAGAUCCGGUCUGCCGGCCUCAGCCAUCUGCACAGAGCCCGAAGGAGGAAGCAACAAGGGGAGCAGAAAGGGAGGAGGAGGAGGAAGAAGGGGGCCCAAACAAACAUGUCCCACAACGCACUUUGGCAGGAAGCAAUCCAGCGUGGGCUCCGUUUCUGAACAGGAAACUUCCUGCGGUAAGGUUAGAGAGCGACGCCGGGAGGUGCGUUAACAGACAGCGAGACGGAGACAAGAAAAACGGAAAGGAAAGAGCGAUGAGAGCAGCAGCGCGAGCCGACCAAACGGAGACGCAAAAAGAGGACGGAAAGUCAAA